GUUCAAAAGAGGAAAGGCUUGCGGUGGAUACCUAGGCACCCAGAGACGAGGAAGCGCGUAGCAAGCGACGAAAUGCUUCGGGGAGUUGAAAAUAAGCAUAGAUCCGGAGAUUCCCAAAUAGGUCAACCUUUUAAACUGCCUGCUGAAUCCAUAAGCAGGCAAGAGACAACCUGGCGAACUGAAA
rnacentral:ncRNA from 1 species